UUCGGCGGCAAUAGCGAAGAGGUCACACCCGUUCCCAUCUCGAACACGGAAGUUAAGCUCUUCAGCGCCGAUGGUACUGCACGGGUAGCUGUGUGGGAGAGUAGGACGCCGCCGGAA
rnacentral:rRNA from 1 species